UGAAUACGAGACGCUAAGGCGUUGAAGUAGUGUAUGUCAUACUUCCAAGAAAAGCUUGCACUGUCAUAGAUAAAAAACGCCUGUACCAUAACCGACACAGGUGGGUAGGUAGAGUAUACUAAGGGGCGCGAGAUAACUCUCUCUAAGGAACUCGGCAAAAUAACUCCGUAACUUCGGGAGAAGGAGUGCCUUAUUUAUAAGGCUGCAAUAACAAGAUCCAAGCAACUGUUUAUCAAAAACACAGGUCUCCGCUAAGUCGUAAGACGAUGUAUGGGGGCUGACGCCUGCCCAGUGCCAGAAGGUUAAAGAAGUUGGUUAGCAAUAGCGAAGCUGAUAACUGAAGCCCUGGUGAACGGCGGCCGUAACUAUAACGGUCCUAAGGUAGCGAAAUCCCUUGUCGGGUAAGUUCCGACCCGCACGAAAGGCGUAAUGAUUUGGAUACUGUCUCGGAGAGGGGCUCGGUGAAAUAGACUUGUCUGUGAAGAUGCGGACUACCUGCACCAGGACAGAAAGACCCUAUGAAGCUUUACUGUAACUUGAAAUUGAAAUUGGACUUUAUUCGCGCAGUAUAGGUGGGAGGCGUUGAUUGUAAUCUUGCGGGAUUAUUGGAGCCAUCAGUGAGAUACCACCCUUGUAAUGUUAGAUUUCUAACUUUGAAUCAUUAUCUGGUCAAAGAACAGUUUCAGGCGGGCAGUUUGACUGGGGCGGUCGCCUCCUAAACGGUAACGGAGGCGUACAAAGGUUUCCUCUGAACGGUUAGAAAUCGUAUCUAGAGUGUAAAGGCAUAAGGAAGCUUGACUGUGAGACCUACAAGUCGAGCAGGGACAAAAGUCGGUCUUAGUGAUCUGACGGUACUGAGUGGAAAGGCCGUCACUCAACGGAUAAAAGUUACUCUAAGGAUAACAGGCUGAUCUCCCCCAAGAGUUCACAUCGACGGGGAGGUUUGGCACCUCGAUGUCGGCUCAUCGCAUCCUGGGGCGGUAGUACGUCCCAAGGGUUGGGCUGUUCGCCCAUGAAAGCGGUACGCGAGCUGGGUUCAGAACGUCGUGAGACAGUUCGGUCCAUAUCCGGUGUAGGCGUUAGAAUAUUGAGAGGAGCCUUCUUUAGUACGAGAGGACCGAGAAGGACAUACCUCUGGUGUACCAGUUAUCGUGCCAACGGUAAACGCUGGGUAGCUAUGUAUGGAGUGGAUAACCGCUGAAAGCAUCUAAGUGGGAAGCCCACCUCAAGAUAAGUAUACUC
rnacentral:rRNA from 1 species